UUGCAGNGGAUGUUUNGGCGUCGGGCCCUGCUAGGUUCNUUGGAACAGGGCGUCAUAGAGGGUGAGAACCCCGUCUUUGCUCGGGAUCCUUCGCCAUGUGAAACUCCUUCGACGAGUCGAGUUGUUUGGGAAUGCAGCUCUAAGUGGGAGGUAUAUUUCUUCUAAAGCUAAAUAACGGCCAGAGACCGAUAGCGCACAAGUAGAGUGAUCGAAAGAUGAAAAGCACUUUGGAAAGAGAGUUAAAAAGUACGUGAAAUUGUUGAAAGGGAAGCUCUUGUUGCCAGACUUGACCCGGAUGCUCAGCCGUUCUUAUGGGCGGUGUACUCUUCCGUGGACAGGCCAGCAUCAGUUUAGGCGGCCGGAUAAAGGCCCCAGGANUGUAGCCUUUCGGGGUGUUAUAGCCUGGGGNGCCAUGCGGUCUGCUUGGACUGAGGACAGCGUUUUCGAGGAUGUUGGCGUAAUGGCAGCAAGCGACCCGUCUUGAAACACGGACCAAGGAGUCUAACAUCUGUGCGAGUGUUUGGGUGCAAAACCCAUGCGCGUAAUGAAAGUGAACGGAGGUGGGACCCGCAAGGUGCACCAUCGACCGAUCCUGAUGUCUUCGGAUGGAUUUGAGUAUGAGCAUAGCUGUUGGGACCCGAAAGAUGGUGAACUAUGCCUGAAUAGGGUGAAGCCAGAGGAAACUCUGGUGGAGGCUCGCAGCGGUUCUGACGUGCAAAUCGAUCGUCAAAUUUGGGUAUAGGGGCGAAAGACUAAUCGAACCAUCUAGUAGCUGGUU
rnacentral:rRNA from 1 species